rnacentral:rRNA from 1 species
AGUGAACGCUGGCGGCAGGCUUAACACAUGCAAGUCGAGCGGCAGCGCGUCCGACCACCCUCGGGUGGUCGGAUGGCGGCGAGCGGCGGACGGGUGAGGAGUGCAUCGGAAUCUGCCUCGUUGUGGGGGAUAACGUAGGGAAACUUACGCUAAUACCGCAUACGACCUACGGGUGAAAGUGGGGGACCUUCGGGCCUCACGCGAUGAGAUGAGCCGAUGCCGGAUUAGCUAGUUGGCGGGGUAAAGGCCCACCAAGGCGACGAUCCGUAGCUGGUCUGAGAGGAUGAUCAGCCACACUGGAACUGAGACACGGUCCAGACUCCUACGGGAGGCAGCAGUGGGGAAUAUUGGACAAUGGGGGGCAACCCUGAUCCAGCCAUGCCGCGUGUGUGAAGAAGGCCUC